UGUGAUGUUGUGGUGUUUACGGGGGUGGGGGUAUUAGGCUUUGGAUUAGUAUUCAAAUUCUCGGCGCUAUAGACAAUUGCAUGAUAGUGUUUUGUACUUGAUUUGUGCAAGUUAUGGAAGCUCAAAAAAGGGGAUCAACAAAAGGAAAGCGCAAAGUCGACAGUAAUGUGCAACAAUCAAGAGUUGGCCGAGAUGCAUUUUUUAAUUUCAUGUACAAGAAGAGAUUGCUAAUAAAUGGAGGAAAUUAAACCUUAAAGAGAAGGCUACAUAUGGUUCUGCCUUGGAAGGUUCGAGUGGGCCAAGGAUUAAAAUAUCAACCAUGUAAAUAAUAUAGGGCCUCCAAUUUACGGAUAUUUCGGGGGAUAUAUUAUUAUCGUCUUAGGUAUCGGAAAAAA